UACGUAGGGACCAAGCGUUGUUCGGAUUUACUGGGCGUAAAGGGCGCGUAGGCGGCAAUUCAAGUCAUCUGUGAAAUCUCCGGGCUUAACCCGGAACGGUCAGGUGAUACUGGUUUGCUAGAGUGCGGAAGGGGCAAUCGGAAUUCUCGGUGUAGCGGUGAAAUGCGUAGAUAUCGAGAGGAACACCAGAGGUGAAGACGGGUUGCUGGGCCGACACUGGCGCUGACAGCGCGAAAGCCAGGGGAGCAAACGGG
rnacentral:rRNA from 1 species